UACGGAGGGGGCGAGCGUUGUCCGAAGUUACUGGGCGUAAAGCGCACGUAGGCGGCUUUGUAAGUUAGAGGUGAAAGCCCAGGGCUUAACCCUGGAAUUGCCUUUAAGACUGCAUCGCUCGAAUUGUGGAGAGGUGAGUGGAAUUCCGAGUGUAGAGGUGAAAUUCGUAGAUAUUCGGAAGAACACCAGUGGCGAAGGCGACUCACUGGACACAUAUUGACGCUGAGGUGCGAAAGCGUGGGGAGCAAACAGG
rnacentral:rRNA from 1 species